GGUCCUGGGUGGCUCAGUUGGUAAGGGCAUGGUGCUAGCAACGUCAAGGUCGUGGGUUCAAGUCCCACAGGGAUCA